rnacentral:ncRNA from 1 species
CUUUGCGGAUCGCACGGUCUAGCACCGGCGACGGAUCAUUCAAGUGUCUGCCCUAUCAACUUUCGUCGGUACGGUAUUUGCCUACCGAGGUUCUUACGGGUGACGGGGAAUCAGGGUUCGAUUCCGGAGAGGGAGCCUGAGAAACGGCUACCACAUCCAAGGAAGGCAGCAGGCGCGCAAAUUACCCAUUCCCGACGCGGGGAGGUAGUGACGAAAAAUAACAAUGCAGGACUCGUUCGAGGCCCUGUAAUUGGAAUGAGUACACUUUAAAAGCUUUAACGAGUAUCCAUUGGAGGGCAAGUCUGGUGCCAGCAGCCGCGGUAAUUCCAGCUCCAAAAGUAUAUAUUUAAGUUGUUGCGGUUAAAAAGCUCGUAGUUGGAUUUUGGGCGCAGGCGGCCGGUCCGUCGCAAGGCGUGUACUGGACGUCCUGGCCUUCCCUCCGGUUCUCCGCCGGUGCUCUUGACUGAGUGUCGGCGGCGGCCGGAACCUUUACUUUGAAAAAAUUAGAGUGUUCAAAGCAGGCUCUCGAGCCUGGAUAAUGGUGCAUGGAAUAAUGGAAUAGGACCUCGGUUCUAUUUUGUUGGUUUUCGGAGCGCGAGGUAAUGAUUAAGAGGGACAGACGGGGGCAUUCGUACUGUGCCGUUAGAGGUGAAAUUCUUGGAUCGGCGCAAGACGAACGACUGCGAAAGCAUUUGCCAAGAAUGUUUUCUUUAAUCAAGAGCGAAAGUCAGAGGUUCGAAGACGAUCAGAUACCGUCCUAGUUCUGACUAUAAACGAUGCCAACUAGCGAUCGGGGGGCGUUACAUUGACGACCCCUCCGGCAGCUUACGGGAAACCAAAGUCUUUGGGUUCCGGGGGAAGUAUGGUUGCAAAGCUGAAACUUAAAGGAAUUGACGGAAGGGCACCACCAGGAGUGGAGCCUGCGGCUUAAUUUGACUCAACACGGGAAAUCUCACCCGGCCCGGACACAGUGAGGAUUGACAGAUUGAGAGCUCUUUCUUGAUUCUGUGGGUGGUGGUGCAUGGCCGUUCUUAGUUGGUGGAGCGAUUUGUCUGGUUAAUUCCGAUAACGAACGAGACUCUGGCUUGCUAAAUAGUUACGCGACCAUCCCGGUCGGCGUUUAACUUCUUA